rnacentral:rRNA from 1 species
GACGUAGGGCGCGAGCGUUGUCCGGAUUUAUUGGGCGUAAAGAGCUCGUAGGCGGUUUGUCGCGUCUGCCGUGAAAGUCCGGGGCUCAACUCAGGAUCUGCGGUGGGUACGGGCAGACUAGAGUGAUGUAGGGGAGACUGGAAUUCCUGGUGUAGCGGUGAAAUGCGCAGAUAUCAGGAGGAACACCGAUGGCGAAGGCAGGUCUCUGGGCAUUAACUGACGCUGAGGAGCGAAAGCAUGGGGAGCGAACAGG